AUUGAACGCUGGCGGCAGGCCUAACACAUGCAAGUCGAGCGGAGCGUCGGACGGGUGAGUAAUACCUAGGAAUCUGCCUGGUAGUGGGGGCUAACGUACGGAAACGGACGCCAAUACCGCAUAAUAUCAGAUGAGCCUAGGUCUGAUUAGCUAGUUGGGGUGGUAAUGGCUCACAAAGGCUACGAUCCGUAACUGGACUGAGAGGAUGAUCAGUCACACGGGAACUGUGACAGGGGCCAGACUCCUACGGGAGGCAGCAGUGGGGAAUAUUGGACAAUGGGCGAAAUCCUGAUCCAGCCAUGCCGCGUGUGUGAAGAAGGUCUUCGUAUUGUAAAGCACUUUAAGUUGGGAGGCGUUACCGACAGAAUAAGCACCGGCUAACUCUGUGCCAGCAGCGCGGUAAUAC
rnacentral:rRNA from 1 species